rnacentral:rRNA from 1 species
UCUGACGGAGCAACGCCGCGUGAACGAAGAAGGUCUUCGGAUUGUAAAGUUCUGUGAUUCGGGACGAAAGGGUUUGUGGUGAAUAAUCAUAGACAUUGACGGUACCGAAAAAGCAAGCCACGGCUAACUACGUGCCAGCAGCCGCGGUAAUACGUAGGUGGCAAGCGUUGUCCGGAAUUAUUGGGCGUAAAGCGCGCGCAGGCGGUUUCUUAAGUCCAUCUUAAAAGCGUGGGGCUCAACCCCAUGAGGGGAUGGAAACUGGGAAGCUGGAGUAUCGGAGAGGAAAGUGGAAUUCCUAGUGUAGCGGUGAAAUGCGUAGAGAUUAGGAAGAACACCGGUGGCGAAGGCGACUUUCUAGACGAAAACUGACGCUGAGGCGCGAAAGCGUGGGGAGCAAACAGGAUUAGAUACCCUGGUAGUCCACGCCGUAAACGAUGGAUACUAGGUGUAGGAGGUAUCGACCCUCCUGUGCCGGAGUAAACGCAAUAAGUAUUCCGCCUGGGGAAGUACGAUCGCAAGAUUAAAACUCAAAGGAAUUGACGGGGGGCCCGCACAAGCGGUGGAGUAUGUGGUUUAAUUCGACGCAACGCGAAGAACCU